UGUAGUAGGCGGAAGUGACGUGCAGAGCUUGACGAACACGCUUGCCGCAAAGGAAACAAGAUCCAGCAGUGCAGAGAGGGAGAAAGCAGCCUGUCAGCCUGUCAGCAACUGUGAGAAAAAGGGGAAGGUGGAGAGAAGCGGCUUUCAGAGAUCGAGCUGUGAGUGAAAUGAUUCAGAGAGGAGGGGGAGAGAGAAAGACGGCUGUGACAGUAGGGGUGGGAGAGGUGGAGAGAACGGACUUUCAGAAGUCGGGCUGUGAGAGGAGAGGUGGACAGAAAAUUGGCUUUGAUAGAAACGGAGGCAAGAAACAGGGGAAAGAAAACGGAUGCAAAACUAACUUUUGUCUUACAGUUUAAAGGGUAUUAGAAGUAUUACUUGGUGACCUGCAUAGAACACCCGAGUGCCGGCAUAACAUCGAGCAUAUCUUGGAGUGUCUCAGAGAAGUGCUGAGUAUGUUUGUCAUGGGCGUCUCAGCUAAAAUCACGGAGGAGGAAGUAAAGUUGGCAAUAGAGAGUCUGCAGAAUAAGAAAGCUCCAGGUCCAGAUGGUUUAACAUCAGAAUUCUAUAAGGCCUUUAAAGAUCUGUUGGCCCCGGCACUUGUUGAGGUGUUUAACUGUUGCUUAGAGUAAGAAGACCUCCCGCCAUCUAUGCAGUUUUCCUCUUUGAUUUUGCUGUCAAAAGGUAAGAACGAGAAGCAUAUUGAGAACUGGAGGCCAAUUGCUCUGCUCAAUACAGAUAGAAAGAUUCUCACAAAGGUUAUUUUCUUUCGUUUAAGUUUAUUUUCAAGUACUUUAUUGUCUGACUGUCAGUUCUGCACGGUGAAGGGGCAGAGCAUUUUUGGAGCUGUCUUUACCAUCAGAGAGGCUCUGGAAUUAUGCAAAGCUCAUAGUUGGGGGAAAUACUUUCUGUGUUUAGAUCAGUCAAAAGCCUUUGAUAGGAUGAAUCACCAGUACCUAUGGGCUGUUUUGUCUAAAUACGGUAUGCCGGGUCAAUUUAUUAGUUGGAUAAAAGUUUUGUACAAAGGGGCAAGAAGCUUCCCACUAAUUAACGGUUGGCAGGGUAAAGACUUCCAGGUUGGGGCAGGAGUAAGACAGGGGUGCCCUCUGAGUCCUUUGCUGUAUGCGUUUGCAUUAGAUCCCUUUCUUAGGUCGCUGCAGGGAGGUAACUUAGAGGGUAUCUGUGCACCCAGUGGUCAGCACCUGAGGCUGGUGGCCUAAGUGGAUGAUGUGACGGUGGUUAUCUCAAAGCCUGAAGAGGUGGAGAUAGUCUCCUGUUGCAUCAGAAGCUACGCAGAGGCCUCAGGGUCUCUGGUCAAUAGUGAAAAGUCGGAAGCUUUGUGGAUUUUGGAGGAUGACCCCAGUUUUGAGUUAAGAACCUUCCCUGUUGCCUCCUCUCAAGUUAAAAUACUAGGGGUUAAAUUUGGGAGGGAAGAUAAUGCCAAAUUGGGAAGAGAAGUUGGAUACCGGUUUGGCAAAAGUUCAGCGUUGGAAAGGGUGGAAGCUGACCUAUAGGGAAAGAGUUAACCUUAUCAAGACUUUUCUGAUCCAGUUGUUUUUGUACGUGUUCUGUGUGUUCCUUUUGCCAGAAUCUUUAUAUGUUCGAGUCUAUAGAUUAUUCUUCCAGAUGAUCUGGGGGAGUAAGCUAAACCCAGUCAAAAGAGGGGUAACGUUCCUGCAGAGGAAGGAGGGAGGUUUGGGGAUGGUCUGUCCUGUGGCCUUCUUUGGUGUCAUGUUCCUAAAGUUUAACUUUGGGGGUCUGACUCAAGGAAAGUUGUAUCAGGUCUUGGGCAUCGUCUUUUAUCAUGGACUGGCUGCAGGGCGGUAGGGCGAAAGAGGUCCGUGUAGCUAUUUCCCACCACACAUUGCCCAUGCCCUUAAACUGAUAAAGAGGUGGGGCAUUGGGGUGGCAGAGAUCACAUCGACCCCGAGGAAACAAAUUUAUGCCAGGGUACUAUGAAGCUACUUCUGUGUCCCGUUGGCCAUAAGGGACUGUACCAGUAGGAGCCUGGAGGAGACAUUGAAAUAUUUAAACAGUGUGAGACUUCCCGCAAAGCUGUUUGAUAAUGCCUGGCUGUCACUGCAGGGCAAACUGUAUGUACGGGGCAAUGUAAAAUACCUGAGCCAUGUAAAUAAAGAGUGUCCCUGGGGGUGUGGGGUGGAGGAGAGUCAAGAACACUUUUUGGUGGAUUGUUCUGUUUCAUGUGGUUUAUAUGAGGGUGUGCUGAAGGUGUUGGGUAUUUAUAACAUAUGUGCCAAUGAUUACGCUGAGAGAGCCUAUGGACUUGUUCACAGGAAGCAUCACUAUAACAGAGAGACUAUAUAUAUUAUUUUGUCUGUGAUUCGGUAUCACCUCUGGUGUAUGAGAUGCAGGAAAACUAUCUGGAGAGAGAAUGAGUCAAUAGACCUUACAGUAAACAAAAUCUUAAGGGAAAUUAGUUUUAUUAAGAUUAAUGAGAUACAAAAGAAAAGUGUAAAUGAGAAAUAUUGGAUACACUUGGAUUUCUCUUGGAUUCAUCCUUCUACGUUUUCUUUGUAAAUAAUGUAAAUAUUGUCUUAUUGUAUUCUUCUGAUAUGUCAUGAUUUUGUUUUUGUUUUUAAAAGUUUUUCAAUUUUAAUAAAAAUCCCUAUCUGAUCCCCAUUGUAAGCAGCAGUCCUGCCCUGCUUUAUGGUAGCUGAGAUUCUAGCUAUCUUUAUAACAGAGCAUUCUGAGAAAUGUAUUUAUUUCUUAUAUAUAAUUAUCCAUAAUACUGUGCACACAUUUGUACACUGGUCACCAAAGUUGCACAAAAUAUUUUGCAGUGUAGGACAUCAUUCCUAGCGUGCCCCCAACACCAAUUGGCAGCAGGUAUAGAGGGUAAAAGGCAGUCACUUUUUGCCCACCCAGCCCUGUAACCCUGUGCAAGACAGCAAACCUCCCAGUUGUUCAUAAGGAAAGGCCUAGUAGAACUGUUUACAUGGAUUCACAAUCAUAAAGGAAACAGAUCAACUUAUCUGCCAUGCUAAAAGUUUUAUUUGUAAUCUGUCUGGUGUCUGCAGUCAUGUGUCGAUUAAAAUCAUGGAGGUUAGUGAAGCAGAAUAGCUAAGAAGGUACAGAUGGGGUUAAGCCUUCUUUUCAAGGAAGGCAUAAUAACUCAUUUGUGUAUUUAGACCCUCUUCUAUUCAUAUUUCAGUCUCUUAUUAAAAUCAUUGUAUGGCUGCUAGGGUAAUUAGGA